rnacentral:rRNA from 1 species
AACGAACGCUGGCGGCAUGCCUAACACAUGCAAGUCGAACGAGACCUUCGGGUCUAGUGGCGCACGGGUGCGUAACGCGUGGGAACCUGCCCUUAGGUUCGGAAUAACUCCCCGAAAGGGGUGCUAAUACCGGAUAAUGUCUUCGGACCAAAGAUUUAUCGCCUUUGGAUGGGCCCGCGUUGGAUUAGCUAGUUGGUAGGGUAAAAGCCUACCAAGGCGACGAUCCAUAGCUGGUCUGAGAGGAUGAUCAGCCACACUGGGACUGAGACACGGCCCAGACUCCUACGGGAGGCAGCAGGGGGGAAUAUUGGACAAUGGGCGAAAGCCUGAUCCAGCAAUGCCGCGUGAGUGAUGAAGGCUUUGGGUUUGUAAAGCUCUUUUCCCCGGGAUGAUAAUGACAGUACCGGGAGAAUAAGCCCCGGCUAACUCCGU